AGAGUUUGAUCAUGGCUCAGAUUGAACGCUGGCGGCAUGCGUAACACAUGCAAGUCGAACGGUGUUUGGUGCUUGCACCAGACAUAGUGGCGGACGGGUGAGUAAUGCGUAGGAAUCUGUCUUAGAGAGGGGGACAACCCGAGGAAACUUGGGCUAAAACCGCAUAUUCUCGAGAGAGGAAAGCAGGGGACCGGAAACGGCCUUGUGCUCUAAGGUGAGCCUACGUCGGAUUAGCUAGUUGGUAGGGUAAAAGCCUACCAAGGCGAUGAUCUGUAGCUGGUCUGAGAGGACGGACAGCCACACUGGGACUGAGACACGGCCCAGACUCCUACGGGAGGCAGCAGUGGGGAAUAUUGGACAAUGGGGGGAACCCUGAUCCAGCGAUGCCGCGUGUGUGAAGAAGGCCUGCGGGUUGUAAAGCACUUUCAGUGGGAAAGAGAAGCGUCUUGUGAAUAAUGGGACGUGGAGACGUUACUCACAGAAGAAGCACCGGCUAACUCUGUG
rnacentral:rRNA from 1 species